rnacentral:lncRNA from 1 species
UGAUCGUAAAGUGUCUUUAUUUAUUAUAGUAGGUAAUUAUGAUUACACUAUUGUUUUCCAUUUCUUCUAUGAGUUCAUGAUGACAACAUAGUUGCAUAAUAUAACAAUACAUAUGUUUUUUUCAUUGAAAUUGACAACUUAAUCUAUAUCGUACUCAGAAGUGCAUUGACAAGUUAAAUUAAUGCACUUCAGAGUUAGAUCAGUUGGACACAUAUCUGGUGGACAUUCAGGGGUAAAUAGGCAUGGAGGAGCAUCUGGGAGGCCUAACAAGAACAAAAUAAAUGUUAAUAUAGAUGAUGGAAUAUUAUAUAUAAGUUAAAUUAUAAUUUUGAAAAUGAUUUAAAACAUUACUCACUUCCAUUGAUUGCGAUCAUAAAUAGGGAAACAAAGAUGAGUAAAGUAUAAAAGAAAUAAAGGAUUCGAGCCAUAAUUUUUG